rnacentral:rRNA from 1 species
AUUGAACGCUGGCGGCAUGCCUUACACAUGCAAGUCGAACGGCAGCACGGGAGCAAUCCUGGUGGCGAGUGGCGAACGGGUGAGUAAUGUAUCGGAACGUGCCCAGUCGUGGGGGAUAACGUAGCGAAAGCUACGCUAAUACCGCAUACGAUCUGUGGAUGAAAGCGGGGGACCGUAAGGCCUCGCGCGAUUGGAGCGGCCGAUAUCAGAAUAGGUAGUUGGUAGGGUAAAGGCCUACCAAGCCGACGAUCUGUAGCUGGUCUGAGAGGACGACCAGCCACACUGGGACUGAGACACGGCCCAGAGUCCUACGGGAGGCAGCAGUGGGGAAUUUUGGACAAUGGGCGCAAGCCUGAUCCAGCAAUGCCGCGUGCAGGAUGAAGGCCUUCGGGUUGUAAACUGCUUUUGUACGGAGCGAAAAGGCUCUCUCUAAUACAGGGGGCUCAUGACGGUACCGUAAGAAUAAGCACCGGCUAACUACGUGCCAGCCGCCGCCGUAA